rnacentral:rRNA from 1 species
UACGUAGGGUGCGAGCGUUAAUCGGAAUUACUGGGCGUAAAGCGUGCGCAGGCGGUUUUGUAAGCCAGAUGUGAAAUCCCCGGGCUUAACCUGGGAAUGGCAUUUGGGACUGCAAGGCUUGAGUGCGGCAGAGGAGACUGGAAUUCCUGGUGUAGCAGUGAAAUGCGUAGAUAUCAGGAGGAACACCCGUAGCGAAGGCGGCACUCUGGGCCGAUUCUGACACUGAGGAGCGAAAGCGUGGGGAGCGAACAGG